AAAAAAAAAAAAAGAAAAGAUAUUUCAUCUGUCAAAAAGUACAAAAAAACUUUCAAGUCGAGCCUAUAAUUUUAUAUAGGAUAAUGAAAUGAUAAGUAUUAUAUAUAUAUAAUUAUUUGUGUUAACAUGUAAUUGAUUGGCGACCGUCCCAUUGCACGGUUGUCGACUCGCAAUGUCGCAUUGAAAAUUGCUCCUCUCCAGAACUAGCAUGGCUUAAUUUUUCCUCCUCAUUUUCAUGCAAAUUUGCCUCAUUUUUCAAUACUUUUUUUUUCAGUAUUUUUCUGUUAAUCCUGAUUCAAUUUUAAAUUUGAAAAAAAUAUAUAUAUUUUAAUUUUUUCUUUUUACUA
rnacentral:misc_RNA from 1 species